rnacentral:misc_RNA from 1 species
GAACGCACAUUGCGCCCGGCAGUAAUCUGCCGGGCAUGCCUGUCCGAGCGUCAUUUCUGCCCUCGAGCGCGGCUGCCUUUCGGGGCUGCCGCUGCCCGGCGUUGGGGCGCUACGGGAAGCCUCGCGCUACCCCCCGUAGGCCCCGAAAUGAAGUGGCGGUCCUGCCGCGGCGCCCCCUGCGUAGUAUUACAGCUCGCAUCGGGACCCGGUGGAGACCAGCCGUCAAACCAUACUUUCUAAGUUUGACCUCGGAUCAGGUAGGGUUACCCGCUGAACUUAAGC